UACGAAGGGGGCUAGCGUUAAUCGGAAUUACUGGGCGUAAAGCGUGCGCAGGCGGUUAUGUAAGACAGAUGUGAAAUGCCCGGGCUUAACCUGGGAACUGCAUUUGUGACUGCAUGGCUAGAGUUUGGCAGAGGGGGGUAGAAUUCCACGUGUAGCAGUGAAAUGCGUAGAUAUGUGGAGGAACACCGAUGGCGAAGGCAGCCCCCUGGGUCAAGACUGACGCUCAUGCACGAA
rnacentral:rRNA from 1 species